AAGUCGUAACAAGGUUUCCGUAGGUGAACCUGCGGAAGGAUCAUUAAUAAAUGCUUCAUUGCAUCCACCUUUUGUGCACCGUAAAUAUUUCCACCUGUUAUUUUGUCUGAUUAAUCCUUGUUUCGAAAGGAACAUGAAUUAUAAUAAAAUACAACUUUUAACAAUGGAUCUCUUGGCUCUC
rnacentral:misc_RNA from 1 species